UUUUCAAGCGGGUAGACGGUUUUCUUGCAAGUUAUACACUUGUCUUGGGUCCCACCAAACAUACUCGAUACUUUGCUGUUAGACUGGCCCUGAUGUUACACUUCAAGUAUUAGCAUCCCAAUAAUAAAAAAACAUGUUGAUAAUUUACGUGUGUAUAUCCAUAAUCGUUACAUGUUGGUCACCACUAAUAAUUCUAAAAAUCAGAAACUAAUAUAUACGUCUACUAUGAUCUUAAUUGUGCGGUACCUCAUAUGAUCUAGCAGUUUUGGGGGCACCUACAUGAAAAACAAAAAAAUGAAUUAUAUCAAUCUCGGUAUACAAAAUAAUCUUAUUUUGUCAUUAUCAAAGGGUGUUUAAUACAUUUGGUUGAUAAUCAAAUGCUACGAUUGUUCAUGGGGAUAAAAGUUAAAACUAACCUUCGAAACUCUUGUCCAAACUGCCGGUCAUUUUGAAGAGUU
rnacentral:lncRNA from 1 species